AUAAGACCACUUUAAAGACCAGCUUUGCAGAUCUUUUAGCAAUGAAUUCAUAAACACGUUGUAGGAGUUGUGUUUUUGACUCAAGUUAGCGGUCACUAAAGAACAGAAGUGAAGUGUCUCUUACUAACAGAAUAAGAGUAGCCUGUCAUUUUGCAAUAAGGCACCUGCUUUCUCUGCACAUGUUUGACCAAUAUUCUGCAUCACUCGCAUAUUAAUCGUUGCAGUGCCAGCGCCAUGCUUGUGGGUAGUGUCCAGCAGACUCAGGAAAGAUAUACUCCUUUUCCUCUGCAGGGAACCAGAAUUGAGAUGCACAGAGUGAAUGGGCCAAUAUAUUUCUCCUGUACCUGUCACUUGAGUUUGAAAGCACAUGAUGAGUUAUUAGGAUAUUCCAUCCAUUGGCACCAAGUGUGUAUAGUUAGAUAGAUGGACAUCUGGGCAAGUUCAUUGGGGGCUUGCCUGAAUAAGCAAUAUUAUGUAACAUUUAUUGUAUUUGUGCCUUCACUUCCCCAAUGGAGUUAACUGAAAAAAAUAAAAAGUGAGACCCUUGGGGGACCCAUAUUGUCCGCUAUGAUGAGGGAUCUGACAUGGGCUAUGUCUCAUGCUCACUCCCAAAUACGCCCUUUCCACAUUGCAAUAAGGCACUGCCUCAGCAUGAGCUGUGCAAUGCGGACACUCAAAUUAGAGAGUGCCUUAUUGCUGCUGAAUUAAUUGGUCAGCGGUGUGACACCUCUACAAUUUUGCUGUUUUAACUUUGUGCACUGGCAUAUGUAUUUCACCACAAUCAGUGCUCCCGUAGCAAGGAGCAGCACUGCAGGAAUAAGAUUUGUCACGACAUGCCCCCUUUUUUGCCAUAGAGGUCAGAUACGCCAUACGUGAAAGCCUUUUUCGUCCAGGAAUACUGUAACGAUAUGAAAAUUCCAGGUGUACAAGGAAGCAGUCAGAUGAGAUUAACCAAAUCCAUACACCGAGUCAUGUUACUGCUUAGAAAAAAACAAGAAGAUCCACUGAUGAACUGUGGUACAUAUGUCCAAAGAACGAGUAUGUUUAAAUAAUGAAUAUUGCAGAAAGCUGGGAAUUUAUAAGCAGACUCAAGCAAGUUCUAUAACCUGUUUUGUCUUAACACGGGAGUAACAAGCAAUGGAUAAAAGGAACAGCUCUGCUAUUUGUGAAGCCUGGAAAUAAGGAAUCAGUCAAUACCACAGUAAGGAUAAAGGAAUCAGGCAGAGGCUGAAGCUCCUAUAAAAUAUGUUUUAGGUUGGAAGAGCAUUUUUUGUAUUAAUAGAAAGUGGCUAUUGUGUGCAUAUUGAAGCUUUAUUGAAUAAUAAGAGCACCUCAUUAAGUACUUCACCUUUUGCUGGCCAGCGAAUCGCAGACCCCUCUGGCAGCGAAGAGGUUAAACUUUGGAAUUGUGUUUCAAGCCAGUAACGUCAGACAGCAGAUAGUGCUUUAGGCAGGAUAAGAGAGAAAACCUGGGCCAUCACUUCUCAUGUACUUUGCCAACGGCCUCUUUAUUGUAAAGAGGGGUUUUUUGUUUUUGUUUGGUUUAUUGUUUUCUUUUUGUAAUAAAAUCGCAAAAGAAUAAAAAUUAAUAUAUAU